GGAUGCGAUCAUACCAGCACUAAAGCACCGGAUCCCAUCAGAACUCCGUAGUUAAGCGUGCUUGGGCGAGAGUAGUACUAGGAUGGGUGACCUCCUGGGAAGUCCUCGUGUUCCAUUCCA
rnacentral:rRNA from 1 species